rnacentral:rRNA from 1 species
CCUACGGGUGGCAGCAGUGAGGAAUAUUGGUCAAUGGGCGGGAGCCUGAACCAGCCAAGUCGCGUGAAGGAUGACUGCCCUACGGGUUGUAAACUUCUUUUAUAAAGGAAUAAAGUGAGGCACGUGUGCCUUUUUGUAUGUACUUUAUGAAUAAGGAUCGGCUAACUCCGUGCCAGCAGCCGCGGUAAUACGGAGGAACCGAGAGUUAUCCGGAUUUAUUGGGUUGAAAGGGAGCGUAGAUGGGUUGUUAAGUCAGUUGUGAAAGUUUGCGGCUCAACCGUAAAAUUGCAAUGGAUACUGGCAGCCUGGAGUACAGGUGAGGUAGGCGGAAUUCGUGGUGUAGCGGUGAAAUGCGUAGAUAUCACGAAGAACGCCGAUGGCGAAGGCAGCCUACUAAACUGCCACUGACAUUGAUGCUCGAAAGUGUGGGUAUCAAACAGGAUUAGAUACCCGAGUAGUC